AAACCAACAGGGAUUACCUUAGUAACGGCGAGUGAAGCGGUAAAAGCUCAAAUUUGAAAUCUGGUAGCCUUGCUGCCCGAGUUGUAAUUUGAAGACGUGUCUUUGGGGACGGGUCUUGUCUAUGUUCCUUGGAACAGGACGUCACAGAGGGUGAGAAUCCCGUCUGAUGAGACCUCUGAACCGUGUAAAGGCGCUGUCGACGAGUCGAGUUGUUUGGGAAUGCAGCUCUAAGUGGGUGGUAAAUUCCAUCUAAAGCUAAAUAUUGGCGAGAGACCGAUAGCGAACAAGUACAGUGAUGGAAAGAUGAAAAGAACUUUGAAAAGAGAGUGAAAAAGUACGUGAAAUUGUUGAAAGGGAAGGUUAUUAGAUCAGACUUGGCUGCAUUGUAUAUUGUUUCCCUUGUGGAUUCAUCACUACAUUGUGUGCUGGGCCAGCAUCGAUUCGUGCGGCAGGACAAAAGCCUGGGAAUGUGGCUGCGCCUUUCGGGGCGUAGUGUUAUAGCCCUGUGCCAAUACUGCCAGCGUGGAUCGAGGAAUGCGUCUUUUAGACUAGGAUGCUGGCGUAAUGAUCUAAUAUCGC
rnacentral:rRNA from 1 species